rnacentral:rRNA from 1 species
AUGGCCGCUCCGCCGCCGACGCUCACCCUGGCGGUGGAGAAGGGGCCACGGGAGGGGGAGACCCGGCAGUGCAGCGCGGGCGCCGUCCUCCGCGUCGGUCGCGUCGUCAAGGGCAACGAUCUCGCCGUGCGCGACGGGGGAGCGUCGCAGCAGCACCUCGUCAUCGAGUUCCUCCCGCCGCCCGGCGCCGGGUGGGCCGUCUCCGAUCUCGGGUCCUCCAACGGCACCCUCCUCAACGGCAAGCCCCUCGCGCCCUCCGUCCCCGCCCCGCUCUCCCACGGGGACCUAAUCAAGGUCGGCGAUUCGACCGUGCUCGCCGUCUCCAUCGCGCCUGAUUCGGAUCCCAAGCCUGUCGCCAACCCCAGUUCCAGGCGCUCCUCGCGCCAGACGGCGGUGGUGGCACCGAUGGCGGCGGAGGAGAAGCCCCCUGCGGUGACCCGCCGUGGCGCACGGAAGAAAGCGCCGCCGGCCGCCCAGCACCCCGACACGCAGAAGGAAGAUCCAGAGGCAGAGGGAGUGGCGGUGGAUGAGAAGCCCCAGGUGGUUACGCGCCGGGGAGGACGGCAGAAGCUGGCUGCAGCGGAGCCCCUAUUUGAGAUGGAGGAGACUGUGGAGGCGCCUCACCGUGGAGAGCAGAGGAAGCCCGUGGAGCCUUCUGCACCAGAGAAUGAGGAGGUGGAUAAGGAGGAGGCCACGGCGGUGACGCGCCGUGGCAGACAGAAGGAAAAGGAGGAGGCCACAGUGGUGACGCGCCGUGGCAGGCAGAAGAAUGUUGUGGAGCCCCCUAAACCGGAGAAGGAAGAGGAGGAGGAAGCCCCGGUAGUGACAAACCGCAGAGGGAGGAAGAAGAGUGUGGUGACGGACGCCCCUCUGCAAUUGCCUCCGAAGAUGAGGUCAGUAAGGGGCCGUGGAAAAAAGGCUAAUGCAAGCGACAUGGUUCUUGAGGAUGUGGAAGAGCAGGGAGGAAAUGAGUUGGCUGUAUCAAGAGUUCGUCCUGAGGACCUGCUUGUUUCGAUGACAUUGAAGGCUGCUAAGGCGCAGAAGAGGGAUAAGGUGGCAUCUGGGGAUGGAGACGUAGAAGGGGCUGCAGUGUCAUUGGAGGAGAAAGUGCCGAAGGGGAGGGCCAGUGCUCGGCUUGCCACUUUCGAUAAUGGUGCCAAUGCGGCUGCAGUGCCCAUUGAAGAGAUGGAGGAGGCUGUGGAUGCAACGCUCCGAGGGAGGCGGAAGAAGGCCGUUGAACCUCAUGAACCAGAGAAGGACGAGGAGGAGGGCAUGGAACCAGAGAAGGAAGAGAAGGAGGACAAAGCCCCAGUGGUGAUGCACCAUGGCGCAACGAAGAAGAAUGAGGCGGCAGUUGCUGCUGUAUCACUGCCUCCAAAGAGGAAGUCUGCAAGGGGCCGGGGCAGGCCUACAAGGGCCAGUGCAAUGAACACAGUUCUUGAGGAGGAGGAGGAGGGGGAGCAGGGGGGAAAUAAGUUGAGUGCGUCAAGAGAGCUGGCUGGGAAUCUGCCAGUUGUGACCGUGGUGAAUGCGGGUGAGGAUAGAGAAGUCAAAGGAACCAAAAAAGCAGUGGAGUCUGAAUUGCCAAAGGGGAGGGCCAGUGCCCAGUCUUUUUCCGACAACAAGAGUGAGGAGGAACAGGGUGGUGCGAACAGUUCUUCUAGAGUUGAUUCAGGAUCUAAUGGAAUCCCCAACACAACAAGCAAAUACAGAGAGGAUAGAAAACUGAAGCCGUACUCGACUCCCUUUGAUGUCAGGCUGGAUAGAGCUCUGAAGAAAUACUCUGCAUGA